CACUGCUGCGGAGAAACUGACUGAUCACUCUCAAACUCUUUAUAUGACCCUUCCCUUAAUUUCACUCCAAAACCACCUUCAAGCUGUCCAGAAAGAGGUCGAGAAUGAGUCCGAGAACCCCUUACCAGCGACUGACUGAAUGGCUGAUCCCUUGCUUUAACAUCCUCAACUCCAUUCCCAGAUUCAACAUCCCCCACCCCACCUAC
rnacentral:misc_RNA from 1 species